rnacentral:rRNA from 1 species
AUUGAACGCUGGCGGCAUGCCUAACACAUGCAAGUCGGACGAGUGGCGGACGGGUGAGUAAUGUAUGGGAAUGUGCCGGGUAGAGGGGGAUAACUGCCGGAAAGGGUGGCUAAUACCGCAUAUUAUUGGAUGCGCCGAUGUUGGAUUAGCUAGUAGGUGGGGUAAAGGCUCACCAAGGCGACGAUCCUUAGCUGGUCGGAGAGGAUGCUCAGCCACACUGGGAAUGAGAUACGGCCCAGACUCCUACGUGAGGCAGCAGUGGGGAAUUUUGGACAAUGGGCGCAAGCCUGAUCCAGCCAUGCCGCGUGUCUGAAGAAGGCCUUAGGGUUGUAAAGGACUUUUGUCAGGGAAGCGGUACCUGCAGAAGAAGCACCGGCUAACUACGUGCCAGCAGCCGCGGUAAUUC